rnacentral:pre_miRNA from 15 species
GGUCAAAUGCUGUAUGGAAGACUAGUGAUUUUGUUGUUGUAAUAUAUAAAGACAACAAAACACAGCCUGCCUUACAGCGUGGACA